UAUGUGUGAAUAUGUGGGAAACUGCAUAUGCGUUACCCGUGUGGCGUAGGACACAUGGGGGCCGUUCGUGUGUGCUGGCACGAAGGGUCCAGAAAUGGAGUUUUAUAUCUCUUUUAUAUCUUGUGUUUGUUUGCAGGUACUCUAAUCACAUUACGUAAGUUUUGAAUGUAAGAACGGCUAGUAUAUAUAUAGGGAGAGUACGUAUUGUGCCACCAGUUGUCUCCGUAUGCCUAGUUAUUGGCAAUUGUUUGGGUGAGGAACGAAUAGAACGUGCAUACAUCCUGUCGUCUUGGUUUGGUUGAUUGCCUUGCUUGUUACGUUGUUUUACUAAAAUGUGUUUCUUUUACCUAAAUGUCCUUCUAAGUUUUCUGUUGUAGUAGUGGGCUACUGUAAUCUGCUGGAUUAAUCUUGGGUUGAGAGGAUCUUUUGCAACUCAGUAACUUUGGGGCCAUGUGCGAACCUUACCGUUAAUCCUAUCUUGUCAUUCAAAUCAACCUUUGAUCUAUUUCUUGAACCAAUUCCAGCAAAAGCAAUGUUGCUUUUUCCUUCAGUGCCUUGAUGUUUGUAAACAAAAUCAUUCAAUUCGUGGUCCAAUGACCAUGCUAUUCUCUCUUGAGGUUGACUUCUCCAUUGUUGGGCAUUUUGAUUCCAACAUUUGAAAUCGUAUACCUUCAUUCUUGCUCAGUUAAUUUUUGGAUAACUUAAAAAGAUUUAUGAUAAUGAUAAUUUUUUUUUGUAGAGUCGUUGUAACAUCCUGCAUCACAUCAUUGGUCAGUGCAUUGUGUGGCAACAUGAUCGGGAAUGUGUAGGCUGACUAACGGGUAUGCGUCCGAGUACAACUUCAGGUUGUCUUCGGUUUCGUUAAUCUAUCUUGUUGCUGGCACUGUUGGGUUGCUACUAUCGAUUUCUCUUGCGGUUGUGUUUGGUUGCAUAACCCUGAUGCCGCGACGGAACCUAGGGCCUCAUGUGCCUUGCAACCACAUGAUUGAGCCACUAGGAGCGCGCUGGUACCUGGGUUUGCGUGAUGUAACUCACUGCAAUCCCCUUUUAUGCAACCUUACUAGUGUACUAAUUUUCGUUCCUUACUUAAGGGUAUAGAGCUAACAAGGUGUUAGCCAUGAGAGAACGGUUACGGGGUGUGAAUCAUGUGCAUAGUGCGUAUGCAUAUCAUACAUGCAUACAUUAAGAGCAUUAUCAUCUUUGCAUAAUGGUGUAUGCAUCAUUGAGUCGGCAUCAUGACAAAUGCAUCAUGUCAUAUGCACCAUUUCAUUUGUGCACGGGACCUUCCCUUAUCGCGUUGCACCACCAUUGCAAUCAUACAUCUCAUGGGUGCAUCAACGUCAUGAGUAUUGUGGAAUAUGUUGUCAAUAUCCCUUGAUUGCAUUGGCAUAAAGAAGCAUGUUUUGCACUUAGCAUCGUGUAACUCAAUUAAAUAAUAUAAUCCUGAGCAAGGAUGCCCCAAAAACUCCUAGACCAUUAUUACGUACUAUCCUUACUGGCUAUCUGUAAGCCUGGUGUUGAUUUUCACCGACAUUUGCUUUUCUCAUGUUGUGAUCUCAGCUCUACGAGAACUUGAUCACUUUGUCUCAUCACUUGAUCUCAGCAUCAUUUCUUGUUUUGUUUGACCUUUUCUUCUGAAACAGAAAACCUUAUAUCACUCAAUUAACCAUUUAAGUCGAAGAGUCUUGCAAGAAUUGAGUUCGGAUGUUUCUUAAAAUCAUCGUCGUCAUCACGAGGCAUCCCUAACUGCAUGCAAAGAAUGAUCUUGUGCAAUGCUAAUCUCAUUUUCCACCUUAGCGUCAGAAUCGUUCUCUUGUAAAUCACGUCAUUGUUUUAUCAGGUAAGUCUCUGGAUGGUAUAUCGAUUUGUUCCAUGUGUCCUGCUUGUUUUCCUUAUAAUUUCCGUAAGUCUCUGAAUGCUUAUCGGCCAUGACCUCGUGUUGAUAGCCAACCGGACCAAAUGGCAUGUUGAUCGUUAAUAAGAUAAUUUCGUCGAUGGACGCAAGCUGUAUGUGAAGCUAAAGCAAGAGUCUUAUGCCCUGUAGCUUUUGGCGUUUAAAAUCUUUGAUGCUAUCAUGUCAUAACUGGAUCACCUCUUUGCUAUCCCUAUUUUCCGUAAUGUCCGUCCAUGCAUGAUCUAUCGAUGCUACAUGAGAAUUUUCAUUGGUGGUAUCUCUGUAAGGGUGUCAUGAAUAACGACUGACAGUGUUGCAAUGAAACCCAGAGCCUCCUCUGAGCAAUCGACAAGUGGUUGUGCUAUUUGGCACGCGCUGGUAUCGAGAAUGAUAGUCAUGAUCCCUUAUGCACCUACAUCGGUGUGCUAUCUACUCGUGAGCCAUAGUCACAUCUAUCUCUAUUGCCUGUCUGGAGAUCUAUAUAUCGGACCCCAAAUCGAAUAAGUCCUUCUUCUGAAGUUGCGAAAGGAUAAUCUUAGAAGGAAAUGGUAAUGGGUGUAAAUGUUAGAAGACUGCAAGAGGUGGUAGACAAGGGAUCCUAGUUAAUCUGCCGAGAUGAUCAGGCAGCAUAUGCCAUCACCGUUGGAGCAAGAGGGCAUACAAAGCGUAAAGUUGGAGAAGUUACCAGUCUGACAAAAUCGUGGGAGAUAUCGAGUUUCUUACACUUUGCUUCUUACAUUUUUUUUUUAAGUUCUCGAUCCUUAUCUGCAACAAUUUCUACAAUCAACAUCGAUCUUCUCUGAUGUGACUGUUUCCUGCCACUUUUGGUGGUUGAUCUGUUCCUUUAUCCUUGGAAGUCUUUUGUUCUGAAUCUCGGGACGAGAUUCUUUUAAGGGGGUAGGGUUGUAACACCCCGUGUGUUAUUUACCUUAAUUAGGAUUAAUUAGAAGUUUAACUUGAUCAUUAGUGCUAAUCGGGUACAGUUUAUGGGCCCAGAUAUUUCUUUCCGAAGUCUCCCGAACCGGCCAGCAUGUUCCGUGUUCAAGUCGUCCACGGGGUCGUCUCCUCCUCGCGCAGACGAGAGCCGAGCAGAGCUGCUGCUGUGCCGGCCAUCCCCGGUCGCGUCCCCCUCCAGUUCUUUCCGCGGGUGCCUCCCCAACCUCAUCCUCCACCUCCACCGCGCAGCAGCAGGCCCGGCCGUGCUCUACCCCGACCAGAAUCGGCCAUCUGCGGGCCGCUAGAGCUGCUGCUCCGCCCCCAACAUCAAGCUCCUUCCUCCGGCCAUUCCCCGCUGGAUUCGAGGCCUUGCUUCAAGAAUGGAGGCCAGGAGUGCCAUCCCCAGGAAGCUCAGUGAGCACGAGCUCACUGUAAUGGCGACCAGGGACCUCGUGCAGCAAUUAGAGUACGCUAGAUGUACGACGCGUGGAGCUAAAGGAUAAAGUCGGAGCCGAACCCGAAGAUGAUGUUUGGUUGACAUAUCCAGAAGAUGGAUGGAUGGAUCCCGAUGUGCACGACCGAAGGCAGGUGCUCGUCAAGCGAGUGUCAUCUAACCAACACUAACUAAUUCAGUGUUAAUCCCAGGCAAGCCCCGGAGCAUAACCCUUAACUUCAGUAUUCAAUGUUUAUUUAUAUAAUUAUUGUGCAUUUA